AAGAUUAAGCCAUGCAUGUCUCAGUACUUGCUUUUACAAGGCGAAACCGCGAAUGGCUCAUUAAAUCAGUUAUGGUUCAAUUGAUCGUAAAUUAUACACGGAUAACUGUGGUAAUUCUAGAGCUAAUACGUGCAAAUAGCUCGGUCCCUUGUGGAACGGGCGCAGUUAUUAGAUCAAAACUAAUCCGGCCUUCGGGUCGGUAAAAUUGGUGACUCUGAAUAACCGAAGCGGAGCGCGUGGUCUCGUACCGGCGCCAGAUCUUUCAAGUGUCUGACUUAUCAGCUUGUUGUUAGGUUACGUUCCUAACAAGGCUUCAACGGGUAACGGGGUAUCAGGGUCCGAUACCGGAGAGGGAGCCUGAGAAACGGCUACCACAUCCAAGACAUAC
rnacentral:rRNA from 1 species